CGACAAGGAGGAUUCGAACAGCGGGCAGAGCCAAUGGAUUAGCAGUCCAUCGCCUUAACCACUCGGCCACCUUGAC